AUGUCACAUUCCGUAAAAAUUUACGAUACAUGUAUAGGAUGCACUCAAUGUGUACGAGCUUGUCCAACAGAUGUAUUAGAAAUGAUACCCUGGGAUGGAUGUAAAGCCAAGCAAAUUGCUUCCGCGCCGAGAACCGAAGAUUGUGUGGGUUGUAAGAGAUGUGAAUCUGCCUGCCCGACAGAUUUUUUAAGUGUCCGCGUUUAUUUAUGCAGCUUCUCCAAGGUCCUUCAUUGA
rnacentral:rRNA from 1 species